CAGCAACGAAAAAAAUAGAAAUCACUCUCUCUGGUGGUCACUGGGGUGACUGAUCCCUCGACCCCCUCGCUACUCAUGGAGCUUGCGUCCAACUUUUCUCUCUUGCACGCCAAGCUGUCAAAGCUCGGAUUUCGCGACUGGGACUCGGUGAGCGAGGGCGAUGUCAUGACUGGCAAUCCCCACACCUACUCGCUCUUUCUGCAGUUUCUUUACCACCGCUUUCCCGCCGCCACGGCGGCACUGAUUCGCAAACACGACUGGUUCAUCCUGGAACACAGCGACGAAAAUGUUGGUGCCGCAACGGUGCGAUUGCUGGCUGCGGAGACCGGUGAGGUGCAUGGCAUUUCGGGUGCUCAAUUUGGUCGUUGCAAAUAUGCCUCAGCAAAGGUGGCGAUGUGCCAUUCGCUUUUGCGUCUUCUACGCUCCCUCACGCCGCAGCCCUCGACCGAGAGACACCCUGCACGCGUUCCUAUAGCAUCUCGGUCCCCGAUGUCUGCCUGCAAGCCGGCCGCCGCUUUACCUGCACAGCCCUUCGCGGCGGCACUGGUAGACAAACGCAGGCGUGCACUCAACUCCCUGCAGCGCUCCUGAGUGCAGCUGCCCACUUUUAGUCUGCAAAACUUCGGUGCCGUUCAGUGAGUGCACCUGCUCGGCUCUCGCUUUUUUUAUGUGUGUGCUUCUCUCUGGGCGUCUCUUCCUGUUGAUUCCUUCUUGUUUUAGGUGCCCCCUCUCUCUGCUCUGGACUGCAUAGAUGCUUAGAUGCUCUCGCACUGUUUGGGUGUUUGUGAACGUAAGGGGCAAGCUCGAGCCUAGCGCUUUCACAACCUGCGGUGCAGGUGUUUGUCCGUCUGGCCACCACACCCUGUCCGCUCCUCUACAUUCGCUCCUCAUCACCCCAUGAUGGGCUUGCGGCCACUUCCUGUGAACAGGCAGUUUGAGGCGUCGGCAUUUUCCGGCUCCGAGUGGUGGCGCCAGUGCUGUUGGAAGUCUCCGCAGCCCCCCUCUUUCUCGGUUUUGUCAGCUCUGCUUUGCAAAUGGCAAGGCAGGGUGGUGGUGGGGGGAGGGAUGGAGGAAAGAAACCUCUGCAGCGGCGUCGACGUCCCCGCUCAUCUCCCCCCCUCUCCGUCUCUGCAUCACCGACACUUUUUCUUCUGCCGUUCCACCGCUUCCCUCCCUUUCAUCCCUCUGCUGAGCUUCCCACGCUUCGAGACCAG
rnacentral:misc_RNA from 1 species